rnacentral:rRNA from 1 species
UGGGGAAUAUUGGACAAUGGGCGCAAGCCUGAUCCAGCCAUGCCGCGUGAGUGAUGAAGGCCUUAGGGUUGUAAAGCUCUUUUAGCAGGGAAGAUAAUGACGGUACCUGUAGAAAAAGCCCCGGCUAACUUCGUGCCAGCAGCCGCGGUAAUACGAAGGGGGCUAGCGUUGCUCGGAAUUACUGGGCGUAAAGCGCACGUAGGCGGACUCUUAAGUCGGUGGUGAAAUCCUGGAGCUCAACUCCAGAACUGCCUUCGAUACUGGGAGUCUUGAGUUCGGGAGAGNUGAGUGGAACUGCGAGUGUAGAGGUGAAAUUCGUAGAUAUUCGCAAGAACACCAGUGGCGAAGGCGGCUCACUGGCCCGAUACUGACGCUGAGGUGCGAAAGCGUGGGGAGCAAACA